AGCGAACGCUGGCGGCAGGCUUAACACAUGCAAGUCGAGCGGGCGUAGCAAUACGUCAGCGGCAGACGGGUGAGUAACACGUGGGAACGUACCUUUUGGUUCGGAACAACACAGGGAAACUUGUGCUAAUACCGAAUAAGCCCUUACGGGGAAGAUUUAUCGCCGAAAGAUCGGCCCGCGUCUGAUUAGCUUGUUGGUGAGGUAACGGCUCACCAAGGCGACGAUCAGUAGCUGGUCNGAGAGGAUGAU
rnacentral:rRNA from 1 species